rnacentral:ncRNA from 2 species
AAAAAACUUCCUCUCCGAUCCUUCAGACCUAAGGCUUUGGCUACGGCUGCUGGACGACAGGGUUCCCCGGGAAACCGGAGCGCCUUCCAUUGCGAAAAGGAGAGUUGGGUUGCAUUAG